GUGAGGAAUCUUCCACAAUGGGCGAAAGCCUGAUGGAGCAACGCCGCGUGAAGGAUGAAGGUCUUCGGAUUGUAAACUUCUUUUAUGAGUGAAGAAUAUGACGGUAACUCAUGAAUAAGCACCGGCUAACUACGUGCCAGCAGCCGCGGUCAUACGUAGGGUGCAAGCAUUAUCCGGAGUGACUGGGCGUAAAGAGUUGCGUAGGCGGUUAUGUAAGCGAAUAGUGAAACCUGGUGGCUCAACCACACAGACUAUUAUUCGAACUGCAUAACUAGAGAAUGGUAGAGGUAACUGGAAUUUCUUGUGUAGGAGUGAAAUCCGUAGAUAUAAGAAGGAACACCAAUGGCGUAGGCAGGUUACUGGGCCAUUUCUGACGCUAAGGCACGAAAGCGUGGGGAGCGAACCGGAUUAGAUACCCCAGUAGUCC
rnacentral:rRNA from 1 species